rnacentral:lncRNA from 1 species
GAGCCUGCGGCUGAUUGGCCGAGCGCAGAGCACUGGGCGUGGGCUUUGCGCAAGUUCUCCGCUCGUACCCCCAGCUCCCAGGGGAAGCCGGGGCGUGUUGGACCAGCGGCUCUUCAAGGCUCAGAGGAGGCGAGACCGCUGUUCGCAUCCGCUGCGCCUUUCCGCUGGAGUAUGAAAUCUACUUCCAAGAUUCGCGCCUUAGUGAACAUUCCGAGGGAAAGCCCGAGGUCGCGAUGGAUCUUGACGGCCGCAAUGAAAAGAGCAGAGGGGAAGAACUUCUUGAAAAGGGACAAAAAAAGUGCAUCCUCAAAUCUGUAUUUCAUACUUCCUGCACAAUUUGGACAGAGUUUGAAACAGACAUAUCCAAGAUGUGGGACAUUCUAUAAGACACCCGUUUUUGUUCCUGUAAAAAGUCAAUGUUUGAUGAGAGGUAGGUGGGAAGAAGAAUUUCUAGAUUUGAAAGAGAGUAAAGAGACAAGUGGAGAAGGAAGUGGUAGCCUGCCCACUCCGGUAUUCUUGCCUAGGAAAUCCCUUGGACAGAGGAGCCUGGCAGGCUACGGUCCAUGGGGUGGCAAAAGAGUCAGACACGGCUUAGUGACUAAACAACAACAAAGAAACAAAACCACCACAUAUAAUACAUGAGCCUUAAUUACAUCAGAGUUCUAAAAAGGGAAAACCUAUAGAAACCAUUCUUGAAAAUUUUGAAUGUGGAUUGAUAUCAAAAUUGCUGUUAAUUUUAUUGUAUUUGAAUGGUAGGAAAACAUGUGAAGUGCCAUGAUCUUUGCAGCUUAUUUUCAAAUAGUUUGAUGAUUAACAGUUAUAAACUUCCUUAUGCAUUAAAGAAAAUAUGGUCAAAAUGUUCACAGCUGUUGAAUCUAGGUGAAUUUUUAAUGGGUAGUCAUUAUUAGUAUUCUUUUUGUUUGUUUGAAGGUUUUCAUAAUAAAUUCUCGUAAAAUACGUUAUAUAGAGUGGAAGGUAGAUACAUCCCUUUUUGUUUUUAAGUUUUUAAACUUGGUACCUUAAAUAUGUAUUAUUUGACGCAAACACUUA